AAAAUGGUAGGUAGUUUAAGCAAUUUUUCUCAUAAUUUAUUCCAAAUCAUACUUUCUCACUCAUUUUUUUAUUUUAGUGUUUAACAUAAAACUCAAAUGGGUUAAGCAAACAAAUUUUUCUCAUAAUUUGUUCCAAACACUAACUCAUUCAACCAAAUGUUUUUAAUUAAAACUAAUCAUAGUUGACAUAUCUUUUAAAUUUAUUGUUUUAAUU
rnacentral:lncRNA from 1 species